rnacentral:rRNA from 1 species
GAUGACCGCUGGCGGCAUGCCUAAUACACGCAAGUCGAACGAGAGGAAGGAAAGCUUGCUUUUCUGAAUCUAGUGGCGAACGGGUGAGUAACACGUAGGUAACCUGCCCAUGUGCCCGGGAGAACUUCUGGAAACGGAUGCCAAAAGCGGAUAGGUAGCAGACAAGCAUUUGACUGCUAUUAAAGUGGCUAAGGCCAUGAACAUGGACGGACCUGCGGUGCAUUAGCUAGUUGGUGAGGUAACGGCUCACCAAGGGGACGAUGCAUAGCCGGCAUGAGAGGGCGGACGGCCACAUUGGGACGGAGACACGGCCCAAACUCCUACGGGAGGCAGCAGUAGGGAAUUUUCGUCAAUGGGGGGAACCCUGAACGAGCAAUGCCGCGUGGGCGAGGAAGGUCUUCGGAUCGUAAAGCUCUGUUGUAGAGAAAAACGACAUUCAUAGGGAAUGAUGAGUGAGUGAUGGUAUCUUACCAGAAAGUCACGGCUAACUACGUGCCAGCCGCCGCCGUAAAAC